rnacentral:rRNA from 1 species
GGACUGAGUGGCGGACGGGUGAGUAACACGUGAGCAAUCUGCCUUUCAGAGGGGGAUACCGAUUGGAAACGAUCGUUAAUACCGCAUAACAUAAUUGAACCGCAUGAUUUGAUUAUCAAAGAUUUAUCGCUGAAAGAUGAGCUCGCGUCUGAUUAGCUAGUUGGUAAGGUAACGGCUUACCAAGGCGACGAUCAGUAGCCGGACUGAGAGGUUGAUCGGCCACAUUGGGACUGAGACACGGCCCAGACUCC